GACGUAGGGCGCGAGCGUUGUCCGGAUUUAUUGGGCGUAAAGAGCUCGUAGGCGGCUCAUUGCGUCAACCGUGAAAACCAGCAGCUCAACUGUUGGCUUGCGGUUGAUACGGGUGGGCUGGAGUUCGGUAGGGGAGACUGGAAUUCCUGGUGUAGCGGUGAAAUGCGCAGAUAUCAGGAGGAACACCGGUGGCGAAGGCGGGUCUCUGGGCUGACACUGACGCUCAUGCACGAAAGCGUGGGGAGCAAACAGG
rnacentral:rRNA from 1 species